AACGUAGGAGACAAACGUUAUCCGGAGUUACUGGGCGUAAAGGGCGUGUAGGUGGUUUCGUAAGUCUGGCGUGAAAUAUCUCGGGCUUAACCGAGGCAGGUCGUCGGAUACUGCGGGACUAGAGGACGGUAGAGGCGUGUGGAAUUCCGGGUGUAGUGGUGAAAUGCGUAGAGAUCCGGAGGAACACCAGUGGCGAAGGCGACACGCUGGGCCGUACCUGACACUGAUGCGCGACAGCAUGGGGAGCAAACAGG
rnacentral:rRNA from 1 species